rnacentral:rRNA from 1 species
CCUGGAUUCAGCGGCGGACGGGUGAGUAAUGCCUAGGAAUCUGCCUGGUAGUGGGGGAUAACGUCCGGAAACGGGCGCUAAUACCGCAUACGUCCUGAGGGAGAAAGUGGGGGAUCUUCGGACCUCACGCUAUCAGAUGAGCCUAGGUCGGAUUAGCUAGUUGGUGGGGUAAAGGCCUACCAAGGCGACGAUCCGUAACUGGUCUGAGAGGAUGAUCAGUCACACUGGAACUGAGACACGGUCCAGACUCCUACGGGAGGCAGCAGUGGGGAAUAUUGGACAAUGGGCGAAAGCCUGAUCCAGCCAUGCCGCGUGUGUGAAGAAGGUCUUCGGAUUGUAAAGCACUUUAAGUUGGGAGGAAGGGCAGUAAGUUAAUACCUUGCUGUUUUGACGUUACCAACAGAAUAAGCACCGGCUAACUUCGUGCCAGCAGCCGCGGUAAUACGAAGGGUGCAAGCGUUAAUCGGAAUUACUGGGCGUAAAGCGCGCGUAGGUGGUUCAGCAAGUUGGAUGUGAAAUCCCCGGGCUCAACCUGGGAACUGCAUCCAAAACUACUGAGCUAGAGUACGGUAGAGGGUGGUGGAAUUUCCUGUGUAGCGGUGAAAUGCGUAGAUAUAGGAAGGAACACCAGUGGCGAAGGCGACCACCUGGACU